AUUGAACGCUGGCGGCAGGCCUAACACAUGCAAGUCGAACGAGUGGCGGACGGGUGAGUAAUGUCUGGGAAACUGCCUGCUGGAGGGGGAUAACUACUGGAAACGGUAGCUAAUACCGCAUACCAUCAGAUGUGCCCAGAGGGGAUUAGCUUGUUGGUGGGGUAACGGCUCACCAAGGCGACGAUCCCUAGCUGGGCUGAGAGGAUGACCAGCCGCGCUGGAACUGGACAACGGACCAGACUCCUACGGGAGGCAGCAGUGGGGAAUAUUGCACAAUGGGCGCAAGCCUGAUGCAGCCAUGCCUCGUGUAUGAAGAAGGCCUUCGGGUUGUAAAGUACUUUCAGCGGGGAGGCGUUACCCGCAGAAGAAGCACCGGCUAACGCCGUGCCAGCAGCCGCGGUAAUUC
rnacentral:rRNA from 1 species